ensembl:lncRNA
UGAGCCUGGAUCUACCCAGCUAAUGGUGCAUGUCAAGUUUAUUUCAUGAUUGCGGUCUGCAUGUCACACAGGUUUUGUUUUGCUUUCCUCAAAACAUGAAGAAGCCAGACGUGAGAACAGGGCAGCAGGCUGGCAGCAGUUCCUCCUGAAGGCCCACCCCUCCGUCCCGGUCCCACAUUACAAAGUUUUUGCUCACUCAAUUCAAAUGCUUUCCAUUCUGUGGAAAGGUGACAAGAUCAACAUGUUUUUGCUGAAUAAUUCAUGGUCAGAGAUGCCCCCCCUUCAAGGAGUUUGAAAAGUUUUGGAUGUGCAUUGAGUUCUAUCUGAUCUUAGAAUGAACUGUAGAUGCAUUGCUCAUUCUCAAAAUUAAUUACAGCAGCAAGGGAAUAAAUAAUAUAUGGAUGACAAUGAAGCGAAUGACAAGAUCAGCCGACUAAAAAGAGACAGAGAAACCCAAUGUCGGAGGAACAGAAGAAGAGAAGAGGGAGACUGACCGACAGAGAGGCCAGACACGAGUAAACGUUAUGCAAGCUUUUCAGGAAUAGCGUGAACUGAAAGAAAAAGAAGACUGCAAAUCAGACGCCGACUCGGCCGUGUUGCUUUUGAAAUUGAAAGUACCCUUGGGUGAACUUUGUCUUAAUGGUGUUCUUGAUGUUGAUAGUCUCUGUACAAAUGUGUUUGCUCAACCAUUUUGUUGUGAGCCCUGUAAAAAUUGUUUUCUCGACCGUUUUGUUGUGAGCCCUGUAUGUUUCUAG